rnacentral:lncRNA from 1 species
UUGGUUUUCCCUGGAAAGUCUUUUCUAGAUUUCCCCAGCGGAUUCGUGUCCCUAUUCGUGUUGCUGUAUUGGUGUUAUCCCCAGUACAUGCAUUUUGUGAGUCAGCUUGAGUCUUCCCAAUGGAAGUGUUUUCCUUUGGUAUUUCUUCCUCUCCCCAGCUUGAGUCCUUUACUUCCCCAGUAAAGUCUCCAGUCUGUUUCUCUGUUUUCCCCAACUCAGAAUCGUGUCCUGCUCACAC